rnacentral:rRNA from 1 species
GACGAACGCUGGCGGCGUGCUUAACACAUGCAAGUCGAACGAAGUGGCGAACGGGUGAGUAACGCGUAAUCAACCUGCCCUUCAGAGGGGGACAACAGUUGGAAACGACUGCUAAUACCGCAUACUGAAGGAGGGGAUUGCGUCUGAUUCGCUAGUUGGAGGGGUAACGGCCCACCAAGGCGAUGAUCAGUAGCAGGUCUGAGAGGAUGAACGGCGAGAUUGGGACGGGGACACGGCCAAGACUCAGACGGGAGGCAGCAGGGGGGAAGCUGGCGAAAUGGACGAAAGACGGACGGAGCAACGCCGCGUGAGUGAGGACGGCCUUCGGGUUGUAAAGGUCUGUUAAUCGGGACGCGGUACCGGAAUAGAAAGCCACGGCUAACUACGUGCCAGCAGCCGCGGUAAUAC